CCGUAAAACGCGCCCUCCGGGGCACAACAAGCGUUUAUCCACCCUUGAUUUUGAGCACCUCUCGUUUCCUCGGCGGGUUCGCCCGCCAAAUGAGGACCCUUUGAACUCUUGUAGUUAGCAGUUUUUGUCUGAGAUUAUACCAAAUAAUCA
rnacentral:misc_RNA from 1 species